ensembl:lncRNA
AACGGAAAUAGCGGAAAUAACGGAAAUAACGGCAAUAAUGGAUAGAAACUCCACAGAGACAGAAAAUUACGGCAGAAAAUUAACUGACAGGUCAUGAACGACAAGGGAAAUAAUGGAAAUAACGGAAAUAACGGAAAUAACCUUUGAAGACAGAAACAUACGGCAGAAACUUAGGUGACAGGUCAAGAACAACAACGGAAAUAACGGAAAUAAUGGAAAUAGCCUCCAGAGAGAAAGAAACAUACGGCAAAAAAUUAGGUGAGAGGUCAAGAACAACAACGGAAAUAAAAAAAAAAACCAAAAUAACGGAAAUAAUAACGGAAAUAACAAGUAAUAACAGAAAUAACAAAAAAAAUAAUGGGAAUAAUAACAGAAAAAAAAAAACGGAAAUAAUAACGGAAAUAAUGGAUAUAACGGAAAUAACGGAAAUAACCUCCACAGAGACAGAAACAUACGGCAGAAAAUUAAGUGACAGGUCUAGAACAACAAAGGAAAUAACUGAAAGAACGGAAAGAAAGGAAAGAACUGAGAGAAAAGAAAUAAAGGAAAUAACCUCCAAAGAGACAGAUACAUACGGCAGAAAAUUAAAUGACAGGUCGAGAACAACAACGCAAAUAACUGAAGUAACGGAAAUAACAAUUAUAACCUCCACAAAGAGUGAAAAUUACAGCAGAAAAUUAAAUGACAGGUCAAGAACAACAACGGAAAUAACAGAAAAAAACGAAAUUACGGAAAUAAUAACGGAAAUAACAGAAAAAAAUAAUGGAAAUAAUAACGGAAAUAACGGAUAUAACGGAAAUAACAGAAACAACGGAAAUAACCUCCACAGAGACAGAAACAUACGGCAGAAAAUUAGGUGACAGGUCAAGAACAACAACGGAAAGAACAGAAAUAACGGAAAGAUCCUCCAGAGAGACAGAAAUAUACGGCAAAAAAUUAAAUGACAGGACAAGUACAACAACAGAAAGAACAGAAAAAAAAAAUAACGGAAAUAAUAACGGAAAUAACAGAAGUAACGGAAAUAACGGAAAAAAUAACAAGAAUAAUAACAGAAAAAAAAAUAACGGAAAUAAUAACAGACAUAACGGAUAUAACGGAAAUAACGGAAAAAAACUCCACAGAGACAGAAACAUACGGCAGAAAAUUAGGUUACAGGUAAAGAACAAAAACGGAAAUAACAGAAAAAAAACGAAAUAAAGGAAAUAAUAACGGAAAUAAUGGAAAUAUCGGAAAUAAUGGAAAUAAUCCCUACGGAGGCAGAAACAUACGGCAAAAAAUUAGGUUACAGGUAAAGAACAACAACGGAAAUAACAGAAAAAACCAAAAUAACAGAAAUAAUAAAGGAAAUAAUGAAAAUAAUAACGGAAAUAUCCUCCAGAGAUACAGAAACGUACGGUAGAAAAUUACGUGACUGGUCAAGAACAACAAUGGAAAUUACGGAAAUUACGUAAAUUACGGAAAGAACCACCACAGAGACAGAAACAUAUGGCAGAAAAUUAGGUGACAGG